GAUGAACGCUGACAGAAUGCUUAACACAUGCAAGUCAACUUGAAUUUGGGUUUUUUAACUUAGAUUUGGGUGGCGGACGGGUGAGUAACGCGUAAAGAACUUGCCUCACAGCUAGGGACAACAUUUGGAAACGAAUGCUAAUACCUGAUAUUAUGAUUAUAAGGCAUCUUAGAAUUAUGAAAGCUAUAUGCGCUGUGAGAGAGCUUUGCGUCCCAUUAGCUAGUUGGAGAGGUAACGGCUCACCAAGGCGAUGAUGGGUAGCCGGCCUGAGAGGGUGAACGGCCACAAGGGGACUGAGACACGGCACUUACUCCUACGGGAGGCAGCAGUGGGGAAUAUUGGACAAUGGACCAAGAGUCUGAUCCAGCAAUUCUGUGUGCACGAUGACGUUUUUCGGAAUGUAAAGUGCUUUCAGUUGGGAAGAAAAAAAUGACGGUACCAACAGAAGAAGUGACGGCUAAAUACGUG
rnacentral:rRNA from 1 species